rnacentral:rRNA from 1 species
CCUACGGGAGGCAGCAGUGAGGAAUAUUGGUCAAUGGCCGUAAGGCUGAACCAGCCAAGUAGCGUGAGGGAAGACUGCCCUAUGGGUUGUAAACCUCUUUUAUGCGGGGAUAAAGGUGUCCACGUGUGGAUGUUUGCAGGUACCGCAUGAAUAAGGACCGGCUAAUUCCGUGCCAGCAGCCGCGGUAAUACGGAAGGUCCGGGCGUGAUCCGGAUUUAUUGGGUUUAAAGGGAGCGUAGGCCGGUCUUUAAGCGUCCCGUGAAAUUUUGUGGCUCAACCAUGAGAGUGCGGCGCGAACUGGAGACCUUGAGUGCACGGAGGGCAGGCGGAAUUCGUGGUGUAGCGGUGGAAUGCUUAGAUAUCACGAAGAACCCCGAUGGCGAAGGCAGCCUGCCGCAGCGUUACUGACGCUGAAGCUCGAAAGCGCGGGUAGCGAACAGGAUUAGAUACCCGUGUAGUC